CAGAGUAGUCAAGACGGUCGUCCGGUCUGUUUUUAAGAUCGGGAGGAAAGUCCGAACACCAUAGGGCAGGGUGCUCCGUAACACGGAGUCGCGGCAACGUGAAGGACAGUGCAACAGAAAGAAUACCGCCCUGCACUCAACCUUAAUUUAUAGGUUGAUAAUGCAGGGUAAGGGUGAAAAGGUGCGGUAAGAGCGCACCAGUUCUUCGGGUGACCGGAGAAGCUUUGUAAACCCCACCCGGUGCAAGACCAAAUAGAGGAACAGUUAAGGGCCGCCCGUCCGUGUUCCCGGGUAGGUCGCAAGAGGCGUCGGGCAAUCGACGUCCCAGAUGAAUGAUCGUCAUCCGGUGCGAGAUGACUUUUACCGGAUACAAAAUUCGGCUUAUUGACUGGUCUGACCG
rnacentral:RNase_P_RNA from 1 species